GUCUGAAGAUCAUUCUCCUUGACAGAGAAGACGGAAGCAAAAUAGCAAGUAUAAAAAUUUGAUGAUGGUGCUAUUUACAGGAAGGUAAGAUACAGUCAUGUUCCGUAGAAGUCUUCACAUACGAAUGGAAUCUCUAAGGAAUAUGAAAUGGUCUCCUGUCACAGUCAAGCCUGAGGUAUAAAAGCAUUAUUGUCUUUUCAUGUUAUCAAUGCUGGGAAUUUUGGACCACAGGCCAACAGGGAA